CCGCACAAGCGGUGGAGUAUGUGGUUUAAUUCGAUGCAACGCGAAGAACCUUACCUGGUCUUGACAUCCCGGAGACCCUUAGGAAACUAGGGGGUGCUUCCAUCUGGAAGAAUCUGGAGACAGGUGCUGCAUGGCUGUCGUCAGCUCGUGUCGUGAGAUGUUGGGUUAAGUCCCGCAACGAGCGCAACCCUUGCCUUUAGUUGCCAGCAGUUCGGCUGGGCACUCUAAAGGGACUGCCGGUGUUAAACCGGAGGAAGGUGGGGAUGGCGUCAAGUCCUCAUGGCCUUUAUGACCAGGGCUACACACGUACUACAAUGGCCGAUACAAAGGGCAGCGACACUGCGAGGUGAAGCCAAUCCCGUAAAAUCGGUCUCAGUCCGGAUUGGAGUCUGCAACUCGACUCCAUGAAGUUGGAAUCGCUAGUAAUCGUGGAUCAGCAUGCCACGGUGAAUACGUUCCCGGGCCUU
rnacentral:rRNA from 1 species